rnacentral:tRNA from 1 species
UUUUAAAAAGCUCUACUAAGCAUAAUAUUGAAGAUAUUAAAAUUUAUUAAAAUUUUUAAAGG